rnacentral:rRNA from 1 species
GGGUGAGUAACGCGUGGGAACGUGCCUUCUGGUUCGGAAUAACUCAGGGAAACUUGAGCUAAUACCGGAUACGCCCUUUUGGGGAAAGGUUUACUGCCGGAAGAUCGGCCCGCGUCUGAUUAGCUAGUUGGUGGGGUAACGGCCUACCAAGGCGACGAUCAGUAGCUGGUCUGAGAGGAUGAUCAGCCACACUGGGACUGAGACACGGCCCAGACUCCUACGGGAGGCAGCAGUGGGGAAUAUUGGACAAUGGGCGCAAGCCUGAUCCAGCCAUGCCGCGUGAGUGAUGAAGGCCUUAGGGUUGUAAAGCUCUUUUAUCCGGGACGAUAAUGACGGUACCGGAGGAAUAAGCCCCGGCUAACUUCGUGCCAGCAGCCGCGGUAAUACGAAGGGGGCUAGCGUUGCUCGGAAUCACUGGGCGUAAAGGGCGCGUAGGCGGUCUUUUAAGUCGGGGGUGAAAGCCUGUGGCUCAACCACAGAAUUGCCUUCGAUACUGGGAGACUUGAGUUCGGAAGAGGUUGGUGGAACUGCGAGUGUAGAGGUGAAAUUCGUAGAU